UACGUAGGGAGCAAGCGUUGUCCGGAAUCAUUGGGCGUAAAGCGCGGGUAGGUGGCCCCGUAAGUCCGCUGUGAAAGUCAAAGGCUCAACCUUUGAAAGCCGGUGGAUACUGUGGGGCUAGAGUACGGAAGAGGCGAGUGGAAUUCCUGGUGUAGCGGUGGAAUGACGCAGAUAUCAGGAGGAACACCAAUAGCGAAGGCAGCUCGCUGGGACGUUACUGACACUGAGGCGCGAAAGCGUGGGGAGCGAACAGG
rnacentral:rRNA from 1 species